rnacentral:rRNA from 1 species
GAGUUUGAUCGUGGCUCAGGAUGAACGCUGGCGGCGUGCCUAAUACAUGCAAGUCGAGCGAACAGACGAGGAGCUUGCUCCUCUGACGUUAGCGGCGGACGGGUGAGUAACACGUGGAUAACCUACCUAUAAGACUGGGAUAACUUCGGGAAACCGGAGCUAAUACCGGAUAAUAUAUUGAACCGCAUGGUUCAAUAGUGAAAGACGGUUUUGCUGUCACUUAUAGAUGGAUCCGCGCCGCAUUAGCUAGUUGGUAAGGUAACGGCUUACCAAGGCAACGAUGCGUAGCCGACCUGAGAGGGUGAUCGGCCACACUGGAACUGAGACACGGUCCAGACUCCUACGGGAGGCAGCAGUAGGGAAUCUUCCGCAAUGGGCGAAAGCCUGACGGAGCAACGCCGCGUGAGUGAUGAAGGUCUUCGGAUCGUAAAACUCUGUUAUUAGGAAGAACAAAUGUGUAAGUAACUAUGCACGUCUUGACGGUACCUAAUCAGAAAGCCACGGCUAACUACGUGCCAG